rnacentral:rRNA from 1 species
UACGUAGGGCGCGAGCGUUGUCCGGAAUUAUUGGGCGUAAAGAGCUCGUAGGCGGCCUGUCGCGUCAAUUGUGAAAGCCCGGGGCUUAACCCCGGGUCUGCAGUCGAUACGGGCAGGCUAGAGUGUGGUAGGGGAGAUCGGAAUUCCUGGUGUAGCGGUGAAAUGCGCAGAUAUCAGGAGGAACACCGGUGGCGAAGGCGGAUCUCUGGGCCGUAACUGACGCUGAGGAGCGAAAGCAUGGGGAGCGAACAGG